CUGGAGGAGGCGGAGCGCCACAAGGAGGACUUGGACCCUGUCCGCAGGAGCAGCACAGCAGGCAGCUGCAGGGCAGUGGGAGGAGCUGUCGAGUCAGAAGCCCGGUAAACCCCGUCCUUACGAGCCCCGCCCCUAGCUCUUCUACUACGGAGGGGAACUGCAGAGCCAGAAGAGCACGGAGCAGCAACUCGCAGCCCAAUUGGUGACGCUGCAGAAUGAACUGGAGCUGGCGGAGACCAAAUGCGCCUUGCAGGAGGAGAAGCUGCAGCAGGACGCGCUGCAGACAGCGGAGGCCUGGGCCAUAUUCCAGGAGCAGACCGUAGUCCUGCAGGUGUGACGGGCAGCUUCGCAGAGUGCAGUACAGCACCGAGUCGCUCAUGGAGGAGAUGGCCAGGGCGGACCGAGAGACGCGGCUGUUCGGCGGUCCUCGCGCGCUGGCCAUCAGGCGCUGCUGACGCUGCCGCUCCUCUUCCUGGGGCUGUCGCUGCUCUGGACGGUGCUGUUGGACCCCGGCGCCGUCUCCGCGUGGCUCUGGAGCCUCACCUCGGAGACGACGCUGCGCCGCCUGCGCUACACGCUGUCCCCGCUGCUGGAGCUGCGCGCUAACGGGCUGCUGCCAACCUAAGUGCAGCGCCCCGCGCCUGGCUCCAGGUGGACUCCAGGGCACCGGCUUUAUUUCUGGUGCACUCCUCUCCUGAGAGUGUAGACCAAGGUCGCCUAAUAAACUCCUCAAGGGA
rnacentral:lncRNA from 1 species